CGCCAGACUCCUACGGGAGGCAGCAGUGAGGAAUAUUGGUCAAUGGCCGAGAGGCUGAACCAGCCAAGUCGCGUGAGGGAUGACGGCCCUACGGGUUGUAAACCUCUUUUGUCGGGGAGCAAAGAGAGUCACGUGUGGCUCAUUGAGAGUACCCGAAGAAAAAGCAUCGGCUAACUCCGUGCCAGCAGCCGCGGUAAUACGGAGGAUGCGAGCGUUAUCCGGAUUUAUUGGGUUUAAAGGGUGCGCAGGCGGGGGUGCAAGUCAGUGGUCAAAUUGCGGGGCUCAACCCCGUCCGGCCGUUGAAACUGGGGGCCUUGAGUGGGCGAGAAGAAGGCGGAAUGCGUGGUGUAGCGGUGAAAUGCAUAGAUAUCACGCAGAACUCCGAUUGCGGAGGCAGCAUACCGGCGCGCAACUGACGCUCAUGCACGAAAGCGUGGGGAUCGAACAGGAUUAGAUACCCUCGUACUC
rnacentral:rRNA from 1 species